rnacentral:rRNA from 1 species
GAUGAACGCUGGCGGCGUGCCUAAUACAUGCAAGUCGAGCGAACGGGCGAGAAGCUUGCUUCUCUGAUGUUAGCGGCGGACGGGGGAGUAACACGUGGAUAACCUACCUAUAAGACUGGGAUAACUUCGGGAAACCGUAGCUAAUACCGGAUAAUAUUUUGAACCGCAUGGUUCAAAAGUGAAAGACGGUCUUGCUGUCACUUAUAGAUGGAUCCGCGCUGCAUUAGCUAGUUGGUAAGGUAACGGCUUACCAAGGCAACGAUGCAUAGCCGACCUGAGAGGGUGAUCGGCCACACUGGAACUGAGACACGGUCCAGACUCCUACGGGAGGCAGCAGUAGGGAAUCUUCCGCAAUGGGCGAAAGCCUGACGGAGCAACGCCGCGUGAGUGAUGAAGGUCUUCGGAUCGUAAAACUCUGUUAUUAGGGAAGAACAUAUGUGUAAGUAACUGUGCACAUCUUGACGGUACCUAAUCAGAAAGCCACGGCUAACUACGUG